rnacentral:rRNA from 1 species
CACGGGUGCGUAACGCGUAUGCAACCUACCUUUAACUGGGAGAUAGCCCCGAGAAAUCGGGAUUAAUACCCCAUAACAUUACGAAUUGGCAUCAAUUUGUGAUUAAAGCUCCGGCGGUUAGAGAUGGGCAUGCGUGACAUUAGCUGGUUGGUGAGGUAACGGCUCACCAAGGCAACGAUGUCUAGGGGUCCUGAGAGGGUUAUCCCCCACACUGGUACUGAGACACGGACCAGACUCCUACGGGAGGCAGCAGUAAGGAAUAUUGGUCAAUGGGCGCAAGCCUGAACCAGCCAUGCCGCGUGCAGGAAGACGGCCCUAUGGGUUGUAAACUGCUUUUAUCAGGGAAUAAACCCCCGCUCGUGAGCGGGGCUGAAGGUACCUGAGGAAUAAGCAUCGGCUAACUCCGUGCCAGCA